GAUGAACGCUAGCUACAGGCUUAACACAUGCAAGUCGAGGGGUAACGAGAGGGAAGCUUGCUUUCCUUGUCGACGACCGGCGCACGGGUGAGUAACGCGUAUCCAACCUGCCCCCAACUAAGGGAAUAACCUUGCGAAAGUAAGACUAAUACCCUAUAAUUUCCUCAGAUGUCAUCUGACGAGGAAUAAAGAUUUAUCGGUUGUGGAUGGGGAUGCGUCUAAUUAGCUUGUUGGCGGGGUAACGGCCCACCAAGGCAACGAUCAGUAGGGGUUCUGAGAGGAAGGUCCACCACAUUGGAACUGAGACACGGUCCAAACUCCUACGGGAGGCAGCAGUGAGGAAUAUUGGUCAAUGGGCGGAAGCCUGAACCAGCCAAGUAGCGUGCAGGAUGACGGCCCUAUGGGUUGUAAACUGCUUUUAUACAGGAAUAAAGUUAGCCACGUGUGGUUAUUUGUAGGUACUGUAUGAAUAAGGACCGGCUAAUUCCGUGCCAGCCGCCGCCGUAA
rnacentral:rRNA from 1 species